UUUUACUACUACUACCGAAAAAUUGAAUUAAAAUAUCGUAGACUCUGAGUUACUAUAGGCAUUUGAUGAAAUAUUACAAAUUCUAGGGGGGGCUGACCGCAAAUAGCAAGAAUGAAGGCGAAAGAGUAGAAUAUUAUACGCAUCUAAGAGCUUAAGUAGACACCACACCUGAUUUUUCUAACAUAAGCAUCAAAAUACAAUUGUUAAAUGUUACAUUCGGGUU